rnacentral:rRNA from 1 species
GCCAGACUCCUACGGGAGGCAGCAGUGGGGAAUAUUGCACAAUGGGGGAAACCCUGAUGCAGCGACGCCGCGUGAGUGAAGAAGUAUUUCGGUAUGUAAAGCUCUAUCAGCAGGGAAGAAAAUGACGGUACCUGAUUAAGAAGCCCCGGCUAACUACGUGCCAGCAGCCGCGGUAAUACGUAGGGGGCAAGCGUUAUCCGGAUUUACUGGGUGUAAAGGGAGCGUAGGCGGCAUAGCAAGUCUGAAGUGAAAGCCCAAGGCUCAACCAUGGGACUGCUCUUGGAACUGCAUGGCUGGAGUACAGGAGGGGCAGGCGGAAUUCCUAGUGUAGCGGUGAAAUGCGUAGAUAUUAGGAGGAACACCAGUGGCGAAGGCGGCUUACUGGACUGUAACUGACGUUGAGGCUCGAAAGCGUGGGGAGCAAACAGGAUUAGAUACCCUGGUA